AACGAACGCUGGCGGCAGGCCUAACACAUGCAAGUCGAACGCACCCUUCGGGGUGAGUGGCAGACGGGUGAGUAACACGUGGGAACGUGCCCUUCGGUUCGGGAUAACCCAGGGAAACUUGGGCUAAUACCGGAUACGCCCUUGGAGUUUGCUCCGGGGGGAAAGAUUGAUUGCCGAGGGAUCGGCCCGCGUCUGAUUAGCUGGUUGGUGGGGUAAUGGCUCACCAAGGCGACGAUCAGUAGCUGGUCUGAGAGGAUGAUCAGCCACACUGGGACUGAGACACGGCCCAGACUCCUACGGGAGGCAGCAGUGGGGAAUAUUGGACAAUGGGCGCAAGCCUGAUCCAGCCAUGCCGCGUGAGUGAUGAAGGCCCUAGGGUUGUAAAGCUCUUUCGCACGCGACGAUAAUGACGGUAGCGUGAGAAGAAGCCCCGGCUAACUUCGUGCCAGCAGCCGCGGUAACAC
rnacentral:rRNA from 1 species